rnacentral:lncRNA from 1 species
CUCUGUAUCCCACAUCUCUCUCUCUGUAUCUCUCUCUCUCUCUCUCUCUCUCUCUCUCUCUGUGGAGCUGACAGGCUGGUCAGAGCGCUGAGUGUGUGAAACGGGACGGUGUGUUAAGACUCCGAUCAGGAGCUGAAGCAGGCAACACACUUUACUCAGGAUGUGUGGGAUGGAGGUGGAUGACGGUGUGGAGGACGAGCAGGAGGUGGAGGAUGAGUUUGGGCUGUGUGAGGGGGUGCGGAUGUUGUCCCCGCCCGUGGCGCGCUGUGACGGGAGUGUGUGGGGGUCUCGGCGUGGACGCUGUGAGUGUAUGUGUUGGGGUUUAGGGUUGGUGCUGUGGAACCUAGCGCUGACCGGAGUGUGUGUGACGCUGAUGGCCGGAGUCUUUACACUAGUGCUGCUGCCCGCAGUCCUGCUGCUGUACACAGGGUUCCUCUGCCAUUCACGGGUCCUCGCGUCCCCGUCUGCUAUCUGCCGUUACCUUGAUGACAACAGUUGCUCUGCCCUCAUCAUCCUCGGCUUUGUGAUGAUGUCACCGCUGGUCGUGGUCGCCGCCGCAAUCUUCUGUGGCCUGCUGAGGCGCUUUCGCCUACUGCUGUACUUUCAACCUAUCUCGGGAGCCUGGUACAGGGGGCGGGGCUUUAAAUGGAGGCGGGACUUCCAUGCCUGGGUGUGACCGGCCUGAGUUGAUUGUUCCUGGGACAGUUUCUUUUUUUGUCUAUAAACUCACCGCUGAAGCUUCGUCAACCAAAAUCUGACAACAGUUCACAGUCAGUUACAACAGACACAAAACACAAACGAAAAAAACAACGAAGUUGAAGAUGGAGAACCUGCUGAUUUUUUUUUUAUGGGUUUCAGUUUGUGCUUAAGGCCUAAGAGAUGUUGGCACGCCAAGGUGGUAAGGGUUAUAAAGGGUUACAAAGUUCAAGUUACUCCAAAUGUAGUCGAUUUGUCAGGACCUAGAGUAAAUGGAUUAAAAAGUUCGCAGUGUCAACUUACAGAGUUUUCCCCCUUUGGUUUCUUAUGGUUUAAAUGCAAGAGCAACAAAAUGAUUCACAACAAACCAUGUGACCACAUUGUCUCCACUUAUUGGUCAGAACUGUCUGGCGCAGCUAGAAAGUAAAUACAAAAAUAAUAUCCUGUGUUUCAGACUAGUGUGUAUAUAUUUGUGCAGUGUGAAGCUGCUUUAACACUGAACGUAGUAAUGGUGGAAAGCAAAGUUUUUUAAUAUAAUUUUAUUUCAAUUUUUUUCCUAUUUUCUCCCUAAUUUGGCAUUCUCAGACUGGCCUAAAGCUUUUAUUGUGGCUGUUAGGACCCCUCAGACUCCAGGGACUAGCCAGCAGUUAGAGAUGUUCACAUCUAAUCCACAUCAGCUAGAGUAUUUUCACUGUGCUAACUCUGUCUCAGUCACAUCCUUUACACACACUGUUAAAAAAAAGCACCGUAACAAUGCACCAGUGUUUAUAAUAUAAUAAUUCUUAUGCAGCAAAUACAAUAUAAAUAUUUUACAGUUCUGUUAAAAUACUAUAUCUUUGCUACUGGGUGAUGGUUAUGGUUUUGUUAGCUGUUAGCUACAUUAGCCUCGUAGCUCCAGUAUAAACUAAAGAAGCUACUGUAACUCAGCUGAUGGACCGUAUUCACCGUGACCCGGUUCAGACGCUCUGUACAGUCUUCAUGUUGCUGAUGGAUAAUAAUAAUAAACUGGUCUUUGUUGUGUCUGAGAAGCUCA